GAUAAACGCUGGCGGCGCACAUAAGACAUGCAAGUCGAACGGACUUAACCUAUAGUUUACUAUUGGAGCGGUUAGUGGCGGACUGGUGAGUAACGCGUAAGCAAUCUGCCUAUCAGAGGGGAAUAACAGUGAGAAAUCACUGCUAAUACCGCAUAAGCGCACGGGACCGCAUGGUUUUGUGUGAAAAACUCCGGUGGUGUGAGAUGGACCCGCGUUGGAUUAGCCAGUUGGCAGGGUAACGGCCUACCAAAGCGACGAUCCAUAGCCGGCCUGAGAGGGUGAACGGCCACAUUGGGACUGAGACACGGCCCAG
rnacentral:rRNA from 1 species